CAUCUUGAAGAAUGUCCCAUACGUCUUUCGCGGUUGCAGCUUUCGAGACCUUUUGGAACAUGGCCGGAGAGAUGCAUUGGUGUAGAAGCAUCCUCGCUUUACAAUCAAGACGACGAUCUUCUUUAUACUUCUUCUUUACAGCUUCUGAGGCAUCUUUCAGCCGUUCUUGAAGACCUGUCUUCACCACCUCAUCAACUUCUUGAAACCCGAGUAUGGCCUCCAUCUUUACGCAUUAAUCGUCAAAGUCUUUACCGUCAAAGAUAGGAAGGUUGUUGUGUAUCAAUCCCGCCAUCA
rnacentral:lncRNA from 1 species